UCCUGGCUAGCUCAGUUGGUAGAGCGCUCCAGAGGAAACGGAGACGUCCCUGGUUCGAUACCAGGACCAUGCA
rnacentral:tRNA from 1 species